rnacentral:rRNA from 1 species
UACGUAGGGGGCUAGCGUUGUCCGGAAUCAUUGGGCGUAAAGAGCGCGUAGGCGGCCAGAUAAGUCCGGUGUGAAAGUCAAAGGCUCAACCUUUGAAUGCCGCUGGAAACUGUCUGGCUAGAGUCCGGGAGGGGCGAGUGGAAUUCCUGGUGUAGCGGUGAAAUGCGCAGAUAUCAGGAGGAACACCAAUGGCGAAGGCAGCUCGCUGGAACGGUACUGACACUGAGGAGCGAAAGCGUGGGGAGCAAACAGG